rnacentral:lncRNA from 1 species
CUAACAGCGGAUAAAAUCCACCAUUAAAUUUUCGGUCAGUAAUAAAAAACGCUGAAAUACAGCUGGGUUUCUACGUUUUCGUUCGUCAUUCUUCGUUUUCCACCCAUUUUUCUUCUUCUUCUUCUUCUUCUUCUUAUUCUUUUUAUUCAUCGAUUUUUGUUUUUGUUCUUCUUCGAUUCAUCUUCGAUUUUUCCUCGAUUCCUCUUUUUCGAUUUUUCUUUGAUUCUUUUUCUUCUUUUUUGUUCGAUUCUUCUUCGAUUCCUCUUUUUCUUCUUCCUU